ACGGGAUUUUUAUCCCCCCAGGAACGGGAUUUUUAUCCCUCCAGGAGCCGCCUCGUUCAGCCCAGCUGACCCAGCCCAGGGGCAAACCCUCUGUGCAGGGCAGGGCCAGCCCCCUCUCCUCAUUCCCAUUCUCAGCAGGAAAUCACGUCACUGCCCCAUCGUUUCUGUCCAUGUGCAGCAGCCCUGGGGCUGCUAACAAACUUGGGAACAGCAGCUCUUGCAAAAUAUUAACCCAAGCCCACCAAAACACGUCAGCCUGUGUUUGCAGACGACUGGAGUGACCUCAGCCUGGUGGCACAGACAGGGGUAAUAGACUGUCACCUCUGGAAGUGUCACUCCUGCCUGAGCCACUGAGGUCCUGCCCCUUGGAGCCAGAGGAUGGAGCUCUGCAGGUUCAUGUGCUGCUUUCUGUUUAAUUUUGUCCCCUUUGCAGUCCUCUGGUCCCCAGAGCAGACCAGAACCCCUCUGCUCCCCUCCUGCCCAGGCCAGGGCUGGCCCAGGGGCCUGGGGGACCCCUCAGCUGGGAGCCAGGGCUGUUCACACAGCUGGGCAGGGGUGGGCACACAGCUGGAAAUGCCUUUUCCACCUCCUGCCUCUGCUUCCCUGCCCCUCAGCCCGAGGACGUGGCAGCCCUGCCACCCCAGCUCUGCAGGGAGGUGCUUCCCAGCAUCCUGCUGCAUUUUCUCCAGGGCCAAGGUGUGUGUGGAUCAAACCAGAGCACGGCUGUAGGUGCAGGCAACCCCUCCCUGUGUGGGUUUUUUUCCCCACCCAUUUAUUCUGCACGUUUGGAGUGGAACCCUCUGUAACCAAAGUGGAGCACAAGCCCUGCUCCCAGGCUGGAGCUCUGCCCAGGGCUCGAGUGUUAUCAGCUCUCAUGGUCACUUUCCCCCCACACAUCUCAUUUUCUUCAGAGCCUCCAACAGAGGAAUAUCCAGAGCCCAGUUCAAGCUCCUCUGGAUGGUUUUAUUCUCUUGGGCUGGCUGCAAAAAACCCAGAGACUCCUCCUCGUGAACUCCACGGAGCCAAAAAAACAAGGAGGCAAAGAAUAAAGUGUCCCUUAUUUCUGUUGGAACUCUUUGAGAAAAAAAAC